GACCCCGCGGCUAGUAGUGGGGGAACCGUGGCGAUACGGUGGGGGUAGAACGUAAAGGAAUUGGUGGGGAUGAAUGCAGAGAACGGAGCGAGUACGAGGACGGGGGCAUGUUGCUCUCAGAACGCGCAGAACGUCAGAGUGGGACGAAAAGGACGGGUGUCUCUCGCUUUCUCGCUCUCUGUAUCUCUUUCUCUCUUUCUUCGUUUCUUUCGAUCAUUUGUCUCUCUCGCUCACUCCUCGUGGAGAGGCAGAGAAAGAGAGGCCGAUGGCGGGGUGAGAGCCGGCUUACUACGCGGCGAAACGCUACCACGGCGUUCAGUCGUCAGCGAUCAGACCGCCGGGCAGUGUGAACCUUCCUGGGCAGUCUCUUCAUCUACUACACUCUUCCUCUGCUGUCCCUUCCUGAACAUGAAGCAGUAAUCAGCAUCUGGGAAAGCCGGAGUACAGCUUCCGUGAUCGGAUUUGCCUGAUCCGUUCUACGAUGGUCGUAGACUACCACGAUCUUGAAGAAACAUCACGCGUAAGGGAACCAUUGUAGAAGAAUUUACGCGAGAAAUCGCAUCCAGUGGUGAAAGAGAAGAUACACGAUUGGACACGGCAAACGAAUUGGAGAAGGUUCAAGGAGACAGACUUGGUCUCAGACGAUUCCAACUCUGUCUCUUUGAAUCUACCCUGAUACGAGAUUCGUCGCAACCGGUGACAAGCAAUCGAACAAUCGAAGUCUUCGAGAACGCUCGGCAGUCGUUCGAUAGCCGUACUCGAAGCUAACAGAUGUUCAAGAAGAUCUUACUAAAUAAACGGUUGUCGCGACUGAAAUCACCAGAGACGAUCAUUGUGGGAGCAUGUAAAAUCGCAAAGAAUUGCAGAAGACGUUGGAUAUCGAGAAGUCGCUUCGACAACGCUCGAAGAUGAUACGCAACACUCUGUUCCAAACCGCAAGAUUCUAAAUUCCAGCGGAAGUCAAUGUUCGCAAUGAAGUUUCGUUAUUCGAAAUUUCGACAUUCGGCGAGUGAACCAAAAGAAAAAAGAAACGAAUUAUCCCUUCGUAGUGAGAUUGUUGGGAAGACACGUAGGGCUCGUUCGAAUGGUUUGUGCUCGGCCUCGCGUCGAGCCACGUGGUGUUCCGAAUCGCGCGAACGAUCUGCGCUUGAUAAUCUUCGGCACGUAUACGUUCACUUUGCGAAACCGCGGCCCGAAAAAAAAAGGUGAAAACGAUGGCGAAUCGACGAGCACGACGAGCCGUCGCAAUUCCGAAGAUCGGUGAAGCCGUUCGAAAGUAGAAUUUCCUUCGUUGCUCGUCAGAUAUGUGGUGCCGUUCGAUUGUUACGUAACGAGCAUCGAAUAACGAAAAACCGUUCACGCAUUGGCGAGUCGUACGGCGAGAUUUUUGCACCGAACCGUUACUCCUAGUGCGGGAUAGUGUAAAUCUGUCGGAGAAGAUCGACCAUGCACCAAGGAAGAAACAUAUGAAAAUGUGUGAUUAAAUUUAAAACAAAGUAAACGGCAAAGAAAAAAUAAUUGAGAAAAAGUGGAAGGAAUAGCAACACGAUGAUUCUUAUCGUCAACGAAAGUAGUUGAAGAGUACGAAGAAAACGUUACGCUUUACGGACGUGUUAGCAGCCGACGGCUCUUUCGCCAACAGAUCGUCACAAAUCACCGUUGAAGAACAAGUGAGGUGUGCUACGCUCGGUUGGAAGUGUGCUUGUUGCUUAGUGGCGGUAUUUGGUAAGGAUCCCCUUCCGUCAAAUUGACGGGAAAAUCGGAAGUGUCGAUUUCGAUCGCAGUGCACGAAUUCACGGUGAUGGUAAUGAAUUUUUUUUGACAAUGUCUAUGGUCACAGUGAAGUGGUCCGUGAUUGAUAUUUUCGUUAAACGUUUCGUUCAAUUUGAAAUUUCAGUCGCACAUGUUUAAUAUGAUAUAUAUAUAUAAAUAAUCGAUAUAAUAUUUCAAGUCCUAAGAGUAAAGUAAAAAAAUCAUACGUUUGAUCGACGAAUAUUAAAGGAGUGCUUUCUAACGGCCGGAUUGCGUAAAAUUUGAAAAAAUACCUGGUAUCUACAAAACCGUGAGCGGUCUACGGUUAAAAAGUUUCCCCAUAAAUUCGUCACUGUCAGAGAAAUGAUAUACGCGGACUGAAAUCUCGUCGAAUUAUCUCGUUCCACUUAUCAGGGAAUACUUCCAAACAAACCACGGUCUGGCGGCCACGCCCCGCUCUAAAAAUCUCCCCUUUGAACAAACUACCAAAAAACAGGACGCACAGACACCCGGCUAUCUCGAAAAAAGUCCACUUAUCUCCAUUUACACUGCAUCAACGGAUUCUACAAAAAUCAUUGCUCCACCUCCCGCGGGCAAUAAAAGUAUCUACACUUCCGUUCCAACUACCCCCUAGACACCGUUCUCACCGUCAUCACACGGGAGGUCCCUAAUGACCAACCCAUACUUCUCUCUCUAAACUCUUCCACCAAACGCCCAACGUGUAACAAUAACAAGAAAGAACGAAAAGCAGACAUACAAGAACUAUAAAUCUAAUAUCUUUUCAUUUUCCAACAUACAUUGAAAUAUUUUCAGUUGUCUAUGUUUUUUACCUUUCGAGUAAUCUUCCAUUAUACAGGCUACUACGAUUUAAUGACUGCUGACUGCAUAGUCUUAAUUGAAGGGAGAAAAGGAAAUGCAAGAUAUAAAAAGACCUCGACUCUGUAUAUACCAAGAACAUGUAUAUUUUUGAAAUUAAAAGUCAACAGCAACAAAUCAAUUUCAGAGAUGUAAAACAUCGUAGAAUUUAUUUUCAGCAAAAGUAAAUGAAUCGGUGCGUUAGAAAUGAUCCGAAUAAAGAAAUUACCAUACCUAAUUGUGAGAGAGUUAAGAACCAGAUUAACUGUUCCCGGGUUAACAGGUUUAUUAUGUUUAUGAAAAUAUGAAUUUGCAUAAACAACCGUUCCUUAUCCUUCGAACGCACGAAUUAAUUAUCGAAGCAGGUAUUCUAUAUCUCGAAUCCAUUACCUCUUCUCGUGAUCCCCAGAAAUUCUCGUCCAUUCAGCCCCCCGGCGGUACCACUGGUACCAUUUAAAAAGAAGAAUGUCCUAUAAGAAUACUCUAAAAUGAACGAAAGACAGGCAACAGAGAGGAUACUAAAAAAUGAAACAAAAAAAAGGAAGUGUAAAGAAAAGGGAAGAUGUUUUCGCGCUUCGAGGGGUGGUUGGGAAGGGUCUGUUACGUCACCGAGAGGAGCGAGGCGCCGAAGAAUCCAGCAAGACGAUACGGCCCUGCCCUUCGCCGGGCAGAUAGGGUAUAAUCAUGGCGAGUUUCGUAUCUCGAAGGGGCACACGGGAAGAUGGUCCAACAUCUGCCGCUGCAGGGAAUCUCUGCCCACAUGCUGGCCGUCGUGCACGUACGUACGCACGCACACGCGCAAAAAGUGACAUAGCUACACGCUGGGACGUCAUGUAAAUUCAUUCGAAACACAUGGCAGGGCCGAGGCGGCGUUUUUCUCGUGCGCGCAAAAGGGUUCUUCCACGGUGGAAUCCGAGGAGCGCCGCACGGGGGGCUCCGGGUAAAAAAGGCAGACGAUAACUUCGACUUUUAGACAAGGACCACUCUCACUCUCUCUCUCUCUUUCUCUGUUUCCUUACCUUCUCUUUCGCCUUCUCGACCUCUGUCUCUGUUACGAGGGACCACCGGCUCGAAUGAGUCCACCGGUUAGCCGCUUCUUUUUUAUUUAAUCGCCUCGAUCAUCCAAUGCUCGGGGUGUCCGAUGCUUUGCAAUUUCGGCUUAGCGAAAAUUUAGAGGGUAAAGGCCUCUCUUGAGAUAUGAUUCACCUUGGAGGGUGGUGGCUAUUGGAUUUUGUAUUAUUUAUGAGAAACCUGGUAUUGUUCUAAAAAUAUGGCGAGAAACUGUGGAAACUAUUUUUACGAAUUCUGUAGGCAAGUAAUAAAUCAAGGAUAUGUUGAAUUAAAUAGGUCAAAGUUCGAAUCUGAUUUAUAGGAUUGUUUAUAGCGAGCAUGAAAAUACAGCAUUUAAUAGAUGUAACUAAAAUCAAUCGCGCGAAUGCUGUUGAAGGUGUAUUUACGCGAGAGGUAUUUUUGGAACGAUUUCAAACAGAGUACAAAUCAUAAAUAGAUAUGGGAGACGUAUUAAUCGGAAUUAGCGACGAACGUUUUCCCUUUCUGAUUAGAUUUUUAAUGAACAUCGGACGAUCUUCCCUAAUUAACUUACCAUUGAAACUAAGCACACGAUACAAUCAUUAAACCGAACAGUAUGCAAUUACAUGUACAAGUAUUAAGACAAUUAGCUUCAACGAAUUAUACAUCUCGAUAUCAAACUCAUCAUGGAAUAAAAAAUUUCUUAAAAAAUCCACUAGAAAUAAUAAUAAAAUCCAGCAGAAAUCGUAACAGGAUCUAACGAAAGAUCUAAUUGGUCUAUCCAGUGAUUUUCUUUUAACGAGUCUUCGAUCUGAUUGUUCCGCGACGUUAAAAGAAGAAAUAAGAGAAACCUAAUAAAAAAAGACCUAAUAAAAAAUAGAAUCACCGAUGUAAAACGCAGAGAAAGGAGCAAGUAAACCAACAAGGAAUAAAAAUACACUGGCUCGAAAUAACAGGGCAUUCGGGUAACGAGUGUUCCUUCGUCUAACGAGGGUUCCGUGGAAAUCGUUAACGGGGUAAUUCUCGCGUUCCGCGGCUAAUUACACGCCGAAACCAUGAAAAUUCCACCGCUCUUGAUUCAUUAUGCUGCCACGAAGACAAUAAUGGAUCGCCUUUUGUUUUCGAUUCGUCAAGUUCAAAACCGGGGGAAUUUCGAUGCGGCUACGAGAUAGGCUGGCUCGUUGAAACGUUAACCGCCGCGCCGGAAAACCGCGGCAAGCGAAAAAAAAAAAAAAGAAGAGAACCAGAGGUUAGAUAGACAGAACACAGGAGAACGAUGGAAAAGAAGGAAAGGGAUACACGAACAACGUGUACAGGGAGAGGGACUGUGUGAUGAAGGGGGAGAGGAGAGGGAAAGAGAGAGAGAAAGAGAGAAAAAAGAAGAGAGACAGGGAAAAUAGGAGUAAGCUCGCCGCGCGCGGAAUUGCAGAACUGCCUUUAAUUAAAGCCAUCAAGCUAGUUGAACAAUUAUCAUUAAUUAUGGACGUUGCUUGGCCGCUCACACGAGCCGUCCUCGUCGUCGUGGCUACCUAGAGAGAACGGUUUCACUUCGUUCGCGUGCACGGCGUCAAUUUGAAAAGAGGUGGUUGUAAGAGGAAAGAGGGAACGAGAAAGGGAAAAAGAAGAAGAGAGAUAAAAAAUGAAUACACGGGAGAUGGGGAAGGAAAGGGAAAGAAGUACACACGGCCCUGCCCUCAUGAUGUAUUUUCAUCGACGCUCUACUUUGUAGCGUCUUCCUCUUCUUCUUUUUCUUCUUCCCCGCUCUCUCCCCGCUUUUUCCUUUACCUGUUAGUCUCAGUAACUGAUUUAAGAGGCACAGUCCAAUUUGAGAUAGCUAGCAAGACGAUUUUUACCGCUAAUUAAAGGUGCGUUAAUUAAAAAAGUACAGCCCCUGGUUUCAUGCUCGAAUCGGCCUUUGAUCGCUUAUAAAUCGUUGGAUCAUUAGCCAGCUCGGUUGCUCGCGGACGAAGAAAACCCUUUUGCGGUUCGUGCGCGACGAUCAAACGCGGGAAGAAUAGACGAUUCUUCUUUGAUUCCCUCUUUAAGCGGUGUGAAACAAUAGUACGUAGGGAGAAUGGGGAAGAACGAGAAGAAGGGGAGAAUAAUAUUCCGUCAGAAUGCAUGGUCUUGAGAAAUACAACGAUUGUUCAGAGGCGUUUAAAAUUCUUUGAGAUUAGGGUUGAGAAAUCGUCGGCGGUAGAUUCUUUCCUCGAGCAACGAGAAGCAAGCGUAAAAAAAAAAAAAAAAUAGUGUCAUAAUAAAAAUGACGAUUUACGUUCUAUGUCAUUGUUAUAAAAUUGGGGUCAAUGAUUUCAAUGAUCUACGCACUUCGGACACGUUUUCUCGCAUCUUAACGACGUGAAAUAUCACUGAGGAAUGUUAAUCUGAUGUUUUCAAAGCUAUACAUAUAUUUCGAGUUUGUCUUGCCACAAUCGAAAUAAAGAAUGGAGUGGAUUCUAUUCGAUAGGAGUUAUUAUAGCAUCUGGUUAUUGUUAUAUUUUAUAAGAUUCUGACUGAGCGAAACUUCUCUAUUAUUUGAAAGCAAUUUUAUUCGUUGGACUAAAAUGUGAAAAAUCUUCUUGGAUUUUCGAAUCUUUAUGUGUUAAGUUGGUUACUUUGGUUAGUUCGACAUCAUUCUAAAGUUAAUAUACAAUAUUAGUUUUCAUGGUAUCAUAUUUAUCUUCAUAGUUAGUCGUGUUAUUUUUAUAGCUAAAUAAAAACAGAAAUAGAAUAUAGAUAUCCUAUUUUGUAACAGCAUAGCGCAAUUUUUCUUCUAUUUCUAGCUCUAAACCGUAAAGAUAAACUUGUCCUAAUCCAUUAAGCGAUAAUCACAGUCAUAAGAAAGCUGGAACAACACGCUAGACAAAGUUUUCUCCUUCGAUAGUAUCUCACUGUUUAUCAUCGUUCUCUGUGUCUGCAAUAAAUAGAUUUAGACAUACACCAUUAUGUUCAUGUAUAGUCUUUAACCUUUACUCGAUGCUAGAGUAAAGUAUCAAUUUACUUUUCCUUCAAACGUCACCCACGGAAUAUAAAAUGAAGUAUCUACAUUUACCCAUUAUGCCAACUAGUCUUCAACGAUCGUUAACUUGGCUUAAGAACACCUUACUCUUGAAAAUAAAUCUUCCCUCGUCCGACUAUGGCUAUUUUACUUCUCUUUUUUAUAUUUGAAUGCGUUAAUUGAGAGAUUUAAAAAAGAAAUGGUAUAAGCAAACAAUUUUUUUGACAGUUAACUUAAUUCCAAGUAAACUACGAGCAAAGAUAAACUUUAAUGGAAAGAUUUGUAUACUUCUCAUUACUUCAUUCACGAAAUUGCGAUUAACAAUAUAAAUUAUGCUGCUACAGGAGAAAAAUUGAGAAAAUAAAUUGCCAAUGAAAACAUUAAAAGAAAGCGAAGAUACUUGAAUUGAAUCUAACUUCGAAUUUAAUUCGGUUUCUUUAGAAUUCAGAAAUCCAAGGGAAAGACGCAUAGGCGAUAAAAUUUGUAAUUUAAGAUAAACUCUCUAGAUACCUAAACAACGAUAUUAGAAUAAUCUAAAAAUAAAAAAUCUACAUGUUUCGAACACUACCGUACGCACUUCUAAAUCUUUAAAAACUCAGAACAAAAUCCUCUAAAUAAGCAUAGAUACGAAAAGAUAUAGGUGUACCAUUUUUUCUUGGUAGAAUUUUUUAUUAAUAGUAUAUUUCUCCAAUAACCAGAGAUUAAAACUACAGAUACUUUCGUUUCCUAAACACACCCAGAGAGUAGCCACGAUUUCUAAAAAGAAAGAUAAGAGACGAAACGGGACGAAAAACAAGCUUCCCUAACAGAGAGAAGUCUCUAAAAAACAGGCUCGGUGGCUGACCACGGCUAAUCUUCUCGCGCCCCAUAAUUAAUUACGCGUUAUCUGGAACAGGUCCCGAUUACGGCGUGUGUCUUAACGGGACAAUGGUGAACGGGGUCCCCGAUAAUGGGCCAGAUAGCGUGUCCUUAUUAGGAAAAAUUUAAGGUUCGAGCAGCGUGUUUACGAGCUGGCCCGGCGUUCGGCCCGCGCCAACGACAGAAACCGAGCCAUAUUUCUCCAUGAAAUUUAACGAACCUCUGGCGCAAUGGGACACCAUUAAAAAAUUCCUCAGCGUCAUAUGCCAUCGUGCACGCAACGCCGAUAAACGCCGCUGGGCGAACGCAGGCCGACUACAGAG